rnacentral:lncRNA from 1 species
UGACUGCAGGAGCCAGGUCUGUGUUCGCCAGUCCUGUCAGCAGGACCCCCCCUGGUCUGCUCUCCAGCUGCCAGCAGUGUCCUGUGACAUCUUUCCUUCGUUCGCUGAGGGAGCUUGGCAGUGUGAAGCAGCCAAGGAGCCGCUCCGGGAUCCAGGACAACUUUCCUUGGAGAACUUUCAAGAGAGUUCUGCUACGAAGUGGCAAAGUCGAAGAUUCCGGUCUCUGGGGCCAAGGCAAAGGGCAUCCUCUACACGUAGUCAUCCAGAGGUGCCCCCUUUCAGAGACUCCAUUCUUGCUUUUUCUCGGGUGGAACCUUCAGGAGGUCGUCCUGCAGCUUCAGGAUGGGCAGCAGAUUGCAGUGUUCAUGCACAGCAAGGAGAAGAAAUGAGCAGAAGGCUGUGCCCGCCCUCCCAGCCAUCGUGAACCGGUUCUCGGUGGCUGCUGGCCUGAGGUGGUUCCCGUGUCCUGCUGACAUGACUACCACAGAUGCUGCUGUGCUUCUUUUAAUUCAGA